CAAAAAAAUCUCCUCUUAACAAUAUUGUUCAACCUGAACAAUGCUGAACAAUAUUGUUAACAACCAGGAACAAUAUGGGCAGCAAAAUAUUGUUCAGGCCUGUUUUCAUCAACAUUGUUACAGGCUAGGCGUUUUUUGCAGUGUACAUGAUGCGGAAAAAAAAACACUCAGCCUAGCUGUAACAAUGUCGAUGAAAACAAGCUUGAACAAUAUUUUGCUUCCACAUUGUUCCUGGUUGGUAGCAAUAUUGUUCAGCAUAUCAACACUCGUGGAAAUUGGGAAAACUCGAAACACACAAUUUCUCGUUUUCCCAAUUUCCACUCGUGUUGAUAUAACUGUAUAUCAACACGGAAAAUGUUUUAUAUUUUUGUUAAAUAUAAACCACUUGGCUCCAGUCCGCGUCCGAUGCAUGAUGGUUUUUGAGUUUGGCUCUUUUUGGCUUAUCAUUAGUUCCCAUUAUUCUGCAUGGCCCAGCUAUUCUAAAUACUCUAACUGAAGUCAGAGUAAAGAUGUCGAAUAUUGCCGCCAAAAAAAGAAUGUGCGUGGCUGUGGCCUGUGUGGGGUCCGCACGAUAAUCCCCCACUUCAGAGCCAGAGCGAUCCGCACGAACAAGCACUUAUUCUUAUUGCGUAAGGAAGUUUUAUUUUUUAAAGAAGUUUUGUUUUUGAAAGAAGUUAUGUUUUUGAAGGAAGUUGGUGUGUUAUAACAUAUUGCACAACACGACAGAAGUUUCAUUAAGUCUUGACAGUCGCUUACAGAAGAAGCUCAAGUGUCUUACCUGAUUUCCACUUUUUGUUGGGAGAACAUCAGGCCAGUACUUUAUAAAUUGACACGUCAAUUUAGCGAGUCAAAAACGCAUACGCGCGGAUCGUCAAAGUUACAGAACAGGUACAGAAUACAGUGCUCAGUUAAAAUUGAUUUCAGUAUAUUGUGGUUAUUAUUGACUGUAAUAUUUCUUUAUUUAAUUAUCUUUUCAAGCUUUCAUAAACAAUGAAAUUUCUGCAACUGGUUUUUAUCGUGAGUCUUCUACUCAGUUUCCUCGUGCUAGCCAACGGCAACGUCGGCGAUUACGAAACGAAACGCAGUGCCAGUAUCUUGCAGAAACGGGGUAUUGUUAUACGGAGGAAAUGUCGCAGAGGAUGGGGUGCCCUGACGAAUAGACGAGGCUGGUACAUAUAUGGAAGCGAUUAUGGAUGUUGUGGCAAUUACAGAGGAUGUUGUAAAUACGCUAGUUGGGCUUGUUAUGCACACGACGUGGAGUGCAGAUGUUGUAGCAAGUGGCAUUGUGGCUUUGCAUGUAGAAAAGCGUCAUCAUGCAAGUGAAUGACUAAUUUACAGAACCAAAACAAAGGGAAUUAACACUUAAUUGUAGAGCUAUAGUUUUGUAUCGUACAACUAGUAACAUCGUGGGAUUUGCAGAUGAUUGACUCUUGUAGAAUACUUAGAAUUAAGACGUUAUAGAAUAAGAAGUUUAACAUGUAAGCAUAUGUCAUAUGAUCAUGGUCUGGAAGCCUGACAAACUUCAAAGCUGCAAAAUAGAAGACCUUUGUUUGAUGUUGGACUGUGCCUUACCAUGCGCAAAUCCUUUGUCUCAGCUAUCCCUAUUGGACGGUUGCUUAAUUAUACCAAAAUGCAAUGAUUAUGUAACAUAAACUCAGACAAAAACAUAUAAAAAACACUUCUGCUAAGUUUCCAGACCAUCAUAUGAUUCAUAUCUUGAUAGACCAUGAUGUAAGUUACUGUUAGUGGUUAUUUUAUUCAAAUAGACACGUGUUUUGUAGUUCUACAUUUCUUGGUCCAGUUCAUCAGAUAUAUUGUGUGUACUCUAUCUAGUUUAGGCUAUAGUCAAAAUAUCCAUCACAUGUAUCUAAAGACUAAACUAUCAAACUUUAUAAUUCCAUCGGAAUCGAAAUACUGGUCUACAUGCGGCUUCCGGGCAGUAUUUUUAAAAUACUACGUGCCCGGCAGUCAGGAAACACGUACAGCACACUGGGCCGAAGGAUAAACCGAAAAUUUACUUCUCUCCAUCACAAGCUUUAAUGUUCAGUCGAUCCCGGCUACAUUGAAAGAUGAGUACUUGGCUAUUUUUUGGCAGGGGUAACGAAAUAUAUCGGCUGUUCUCUACAGUAAGUGUUUCUUUAUGCGUUGGCCAACGGAGAUCCGAAUAUAAUAUGAUUACAUAAGCUUGAUAGAUGUAAGAUAACGAGUUUC
rnacentral:lncRNA from 1 species